AUACGGAGGGGGUUAGCGUUGUUCGGAAUUACUGGGCGUAAAGCGCACGUAGGCGGAUUGGAAAGUUGGGGGUGAAAUCCCAGGGCUCAACCCUGGAACUGCCUCCAAAACUAACAGUCUAGAGUUCGAGAGAGGUGAGUGGAAUUCCAAGUGUAGAGGUGAAAUUCGUAGAUAUUCGGAGGAACACCAGUGGCGAAGGCGGCUCACUGGCUCGAUACUGACGCUGAGGUGCGAAAGCGUGGGGAGCAAACAGGAUUAGAAACCCCAGUAGUCC
rnacentral:rRNA from 1 species